rnacentral:rRNA from 1 species
GAGUUUGAUCGUGGCUCAGAUUGAACGCUAGCGGGAUGCUUUACACAUGCAAGUCGAACGGCAGCGCGGACUUCGGUCUGGCGGCGAGUGGCGAACGGGUGAGUAAUGUAUCGGAACGUGCCCAGUAGCGGGGGAUAACUACGCGAAAGCGUAGCUAAUACCGCAUACGCCCUACGGGGGAAAGAGGGGGAGUCGCAAGACCUCUCACUAUUGGAGCGGCCGAUAUCGGAUUAGCUAGUUGGUGGGGUAAAGGCCUACCAAGGCGACGAUCCGUAGCUGGUUUGAGAGGACGACCAGCCACACUGGGACUGAGACACGGCCCAGACUCCUACGGGAGGCAGCAGUGGGGAAUUUUGGACAAUGGGGGCAACCCUGAUCCAGCCAUCCCGCGUGUGCGAUGAAGGCCUUCGGUUGUAAG